rnacentral:rRNA from 1 species
UAGAGUUUGAUCCUGGCUCAGGACGAACGCUGGCGGCGUGCCUAAUACAUGCAAGUCGAACGCUGCUUAAGAAGAAACUUCGGUUUUUUCUUAAGCGGAGUGGCGGACGGGUGAGUAACACGUGGGAACCUAUCCAUCAGCGGGGGAUAACACUUGGAAACAGGUGCUAAUACCGCAUAUGGCUUUUUUUCACCUGAAAGAAAGCUCAAAGGCGCUUUACAGCGUCACUGAUGGCUGGUCCCGCGGUGCAUUAGCCAGUUGGUGAGGUAACGGCUCACCAAAGCAACGAUGCAUAGCCGACCUGAGAGGGUGAUCGGCCACACUGGGACUGAGACCGGCCCAGACUCCUACGGGAGGCAGCAGUAGGGAAUCUUCGGCAAUGGACGCAAGUCUGACCGAGCAACGCCGCGUGAGUGAAGAAGGUUUUCGGAUCGUAAAGCUCUGUUGUCAGCAAAGAACAGGAGAAAGAGGAAUGCU